GUAUAGUUUGAUGUGUUUUCUCAGGUUUUUUGUUUUGUUUUAAAAGGCCCUUGUUUGUUGAGAACUUAAUUUCUUUAUGAGACUUGCAAGCACUUCCUGUCUCUUUCCUGAUGAGACGUGCAGCACAGACACCUUCAAAUGUUGAAUAAGAAGAACGACACAGACAACACAUCACAACAGAACCACAACAGGGGUAAGUCUACAACCGUUACAUUUAAAAUAUAUAAAAUUCAAUGGAAUAUUUAAAUAUGAUUGCCAAUUUUACAUUCCAAUUUAAACACAUUUUUACUAAAUAGAACAUUAUUGAAUUGUGUUUGACAUCUGUAACACAUCCGAUGUCCCUGAAAAUGUGUUACCAGAACAAAUCAAAUGUCGAAUGUGAAUAUGAAUAAUGUGUAUCAUUUUGUUCAUUGUAGGUCUUAUGUCCACCAUGUUAACAUCUUUUUCAUGGAGGAGCUUGUGAAACAAACUACAAAUAUAUUAAGCAAAGUAAACCAAAACUUAUAACACAAAACAAGUUGAUAUUUGACAUCUAAACAUCAGAAGAUGUCUUCAGCACCAAAAUUAAUAUCUGCCUUUAUGAUUGGAGUGACUAAAAGUGCUCUUUUCAAGUCUUUUCCAACAAGUCUUUUGGCGAUCCUCUUGGAGGUUUUGGCCGAUUACACAUUUUUAUGCCCUUGUGAUUCUGAGAUGAAUACAACACUGACUGGCCUUAUCUUCUGUGCACCUGCUUGUUUUGCAUUUGCUUUAACAUUUCUCUUUCUCCUACAUGCUAAAGAAAAACAAGACAAAGACCAAAAUGACAAUGAAAACGAAUAUGGAAUAAAAACAGAAAAAGAAGUUAAAUAUGAUUAUAUUCUAAUUAGUCUGAUUCCAUCUGUUGUAUGGAUCAUUGGGUUGUUCUUUGAUGGGGAGUACAUCGCCUGUAGUAAAACAGACUGGGAAGGACUGUAUGUUUUUGAUGAUAAGCUAAAAAUAAAAUGGUGUAAACCUACUGAAUUGAUUCCUGGAAGAAAUCAGACUGAACUGCAAGGCCUGACUCUCUCUUUUAUUGGUAAAUCACAGGUUUGCGGUUAUGUUUUGCUUCUUCUCUUCAGCAUUGUGAUUAUAACUGUUGUAGCUUAUUAUAUGUACUACAACAAUGGUAAAAAGCCAAAGUGGGGCACUGGGGAAUUGAUAGUCUAAGAAAGAGGAGAGGAUCCUUCAACACAUAAGGAGAAUCUAGUGUUGCAGAAAAAGAAGGACAGUUUAAACUUUCAUUAUGAAAGAUUUUUUCUUGUGUGUGUGUGUGUGUGUAUAUGUGUGUGUAUAUAUAUACAUAUAUGUUUGUGCUGUCAAACGAUUGCGAUUGCAAAAUAAAAGUUUUGUUUACAUAAUA